rnacentral:tRNA from 2 species
GGAGGGUAAGCGAAUUGGUUAGCGGCCUCAUUGGAAAUGAGGUGCCCCUUUAUGGGGUUGCGGGUUCAAGUCCCGUGCCCUCCG